rnacentral:rRNA from 1 species
UGGGGAAUAUUGGACAAUGGGGGAAACCCUGAUCCAGCAAUGCCGCGUGAGUGAAGAAGGCCUUAGGGUUGUAAAGCUCUUUCAGUAGGGACGAUGAUGACGGUACCUACAGAAGAAGCCCCGGCUAACUCCGUGCCAGCAGCCGCGGUAAGACGGAGGGGGCUAGCGUUGUUCGGAAUUACUGGGCGUAAAGGGCGCGUAGGCGGCAAAUCAAGUUAGGCGUGAAAUCCCUGGGCUUAACCCAGGAACUGCGUCUAAUACUGGUUAGCUAGAGAUUGGUAGAGGAAAGUGGAAUUCCUAGUGUAGAGGUGAAAUUCGUAGAUAUUAGGAAGAACACCAGAGGCGAAGGCGACUUUCUGGGCCAAUACUGACGCUGAGGCGCGAAAGCGUGGGGAGCAAACAGGAUUAGAUACCCCCGUAGUCC